rnacentral:rRNA from 1 species
UACGUAGGGGGCUAGCGUUGUCCGGAAUCAUUGGGCGUAAAGCGCGUGUAGGCGGUCCGGUAAGUCCGCUGUGAAAGUCGAGGGCUCAACCCUCGAAUGCCGGUGGAUACUGUCGGGCUAGAGUACGGAAGAGGCGAGUGGAAUUCCUGGUGUAGCGGUGAAAUGCGCAGAUAUCAGGAGGAACACCCGAGGCGAAGGCGGCCCUCUGGCUCGACCCUGACGCUGAGGCGCGAAAGCGUGGGGAGCGAACGGG